rnacentral:tRNA from 1 species
GCUUCGGAAGCUACUGUAGCGUUAGGCUUUUAACCUGGAGAAGUGGAAUACGUUUCACCCGAGGCA